rnacentral:rRNA from 1 species
UACGUAGGGCGCAAGCGUUUGUCCGGAAUUAUUGGGCGUAAAGAGCUCGUAGGCGGCCAGUUGCGUCUGCUGUGAAAUCCCGGGGGCUCAACCCCCGGGCGUGCAGUGGAUACGGGCUGGCUAGAGGCAGGCAGGGGGAGAACGGAAUCCCGGUGUAGCGGUGAAAUGCGCAGAUAUCGGGAGGAACACCGGUGGCGAAGGCGGGUCUCUGGGCCCGAUACUGACACUGAGGAGCGAAAGCGUGGGGAGCGAACAGG